rnacentral:rRNA from 1 species
CUGGCUCAGGACGAACGCUGGCGGCGUGCUUAACACAUGCAAGUUGAACGGUAUGACAUGGAAGCUUGGCUGAAGUGUCAUAUAGUAGCGGACGGGUGAGUAAUGCAUGAGAAGCUGCCAUUGGAGGGGGACAACAGUUGGAAACGGCUGCUAAUACCCCGUAUGCCGGAGGGUGAAAGGGAGUAAUCCGCCCGAUGAGGUGCUCAUGUCCUAUCAGCUGGUUGGUGGGGUAACGGCCUACCAAGGCGACGACGGGUAGCCGGCCUGAGAGGGUGAACGGCCACACUGGAACUGAGAUACGGUCCAGACUCCUACGGGAGGCAGCAGUGGGGAAUAUUUGGGGCAAUGGGGGCAACCCUGACCCAGCGACGCCGCGUGGGGGAAGACGGCCUUCGGGUUGUAAACCUCUUUUGUACGGGAAGAAGGAAGUGACGGUACUGUACGAAUAAGUCCCGGCUAACUACGUGCCAGCCGCGGC